UGCCAGCCGCCGCGGUAACACGGGGGGCGCAAGCGUUAUUCGGAAUUAUUGGGCGUAAAGGGCGCGUAGGCGGAACUCCAAGUCAGAGGUGAAAGGCCCGGGCUCAACCUGGGAACUGCCUUUGAAACUGGAGAUCUAGAGUCCGGAAGAGGAUGGCGGAAUUCCCAGUGUAGAGGUGAAAUUCGUAGAUAUUGGAAGGAAUACCGGUGGCGAAGGCGGCCUCCUGGACCAAUACUGACGCUGAGGUGCGAAAGCGUGGGGAGCAAACCGGAUUAGAUA
rnacentral:rRNA from 1 species